CAGUAGCCGCGGUAAUACGAAGGGGGCUAGCGUUGCUCGGAAUGACUGGGCGUAAAGCGUGCGUAGGCGGCUUUUUAAGUCGGAUGUGAAAUCCCUGAGCUUAACUUAGGAAUUGCAUUCGAUACUGGGAAGCUAGAGUAUGGGAGAGGAUGGUAGAAUUCCAGGUGUAGCGGUGAAAUGCGUAGAGAUCUGGAGGAAUACCGAUGGCGAAGGCAGCCAUCUGGCCUAAUACUGACGCUGAGGUACGAAAGCAUGGGGAGCAAACAGGAUUAGAUACCCGAGUAGUCCCUGUCUCUUAUAC
rnacentral:rRNA from 1 species